rnacentral:rRNA from 1 species
GACGAACGCUGGCGGCGUGCUUAACACAUGCAAGUCGAACGGUAAGGCCCUUCGGGGUACACGAGUGGCGAACGGGUGAGUAACACGUGGGUGAUCUGCCCUGCACUUCGGGAUAAGCCUGGGAAACUGGGUCUAAUACCGGAUAGGACUCCGGACUGCAUGGUCUGGGGUGGAAAGCUUUUGCGGUGUGGGACGGGCCCGCGGCCUAUCAGCUUGUUGGUGGGGUGAUGGCCUACCAAGGCGACGACGGGUAGCCGGCCUGAGAGGGUGACCGGCCACACUGGGAUUGAGAUACGGCCCAGACUCCUACGGGAGGCAGCAGUGGGGAAUAUUGCACAAUGGGCGCAAGCCUGAUGCAGCGACGCCGCGUGAGGGAUGACGGCCUUCGGGUUGUAAACCUCUUUCAGCAUCGACGAAGCGAAAGUGACGGUAGGUGCAGAAGAAGGACCGGCCAACUACGUGCCAGCCGCCGCGGUAA